CAUCCAUGAGAUCAACCCUCCAGGGCUCUCUGGAGGUGGACCACUCCUCUCCUAAAUGGCAUCUUCAAUUCAAGAAGUUUCAAUUUGAGUCUCUCUCCUACAAGGUCAGAUCUAAAGCUGGGCCUUCCGAGGACAAAACUGAGGGCCAGACACAAAACACGUCACUGUACUCACGCACCUGUCCGUGUGUCAGGUGAGGAUGAAGACUGAAUACCUGGGAAGGAGCAGCCUGCUUGGGUAUUUACAUGAGCAAACUGGCUACAGUCCUCUGUCAUAUUUGGCUGUCAAGGCCAAGAACACAGUAGGGGACAGUCAUCACAGUGUAGCUGGCACAUGAGAAUUUUGAUUUUGAAAAAUGAACAAUAGUUAGAAAAGCAGAAGACAUUGUCCACUGUCUCUGCAAAAAAAAAAAGAAAAUAAA